GUUGUAAUCUAUAGAGGGAGUUUCGGGUAAAGUCUGGUUUAAGUUCCUUGGAACAGGACGUCAUAGAGGGUGAGAACCCCGUCAGUAACCAAUCACCAACCCAUGUGAAACCCCUUCGACGAGUCGAGUUGUUUGGGAAUGCAGCUCCAAAUGGGUGGUAAAUUUCAUCUAAAGCUAAAUAUUGGCCGGAGACCGAUAGCGCACAAGUAGAGUGAUCGAAAGAUGAAAAGCACUUUGGAAAGAGAGUUAAAUAGUACGUGAAAUUGUUGAAAGGGAAGCGCUUGUGGCCAGACCUGUGCAUAGGUGAUCAGCUGGUAUUCUUACCAGUGCACUCACCUAAAGCCAGGCCAGCAUCGGUUUCGGCGGCGGGACAAAAGCGUGGAGAAUGUAACUCUCUCUUGGGUGAGUACUUAUAGCUCGUCAUGAAAUGCCGCCAGCCGAGACCGAGGACCGCGCUUCGGCUAGGAUGCUGGCGUAAUGGUUGCAAGCGACCCGUCUUGAAACACGGACCAAGGAGUCUAACAUCUAUGCGAGUGUUUGGGUGUAAAACCCAGGCGCGGAAUGAAAGUGAACGGAGGUGGGAACCCUUAAAGGGGGUGCACCAUCGACCGAUCCUGAUGUCUUCGGAUGGAUUUGAGUAUGAGCAUAGCUGUUGGGACCCGAAAGAUGGUGAACUAUGCCUGAACAGGGUGAAGCCAGAGGAAACUCUGGUGGAAGCUCGCAGCGGUUCU
rnacentral:rRNA from 1 species